rnacentral:rRNA from 1 species
UUGCACCUAUACUGCCCUGAACCCACUUCACCUCAUCUUAUUUCAGAAGCUAAGCUGGAUCAGCUGUAGUUAAUAACUGGAUAGGAGACCACCAGGGAAUACCAGUGAUGUCCAAG